rnacentral:rRNA from 1 species
UACGUAGGGUGCAAGCGUUGUCCGGAAUUAUUGGGCGUAAAGAGCUCGUAGGUGGCUUGUUGCGUCUGCCGUGAAAGCCCGUGGCUUAACUGCGGGUCUGCGGUGGAUACGGGCAGGCUAGAGGCUGGUAGGGGCAAGCGGAAUUCCUGGUGUAGCGGUGAAAUGCGCAGAUAUCAGGAGGAACACCGGUGGCGAAGGCGGCUUGCUGGGCCAGUUCUGACGCUGAGGAGCGAAAGCGUGGGGAGCGAACAGG